AUGGGUUCUGGUUGUUGUGUGACACAUUUGCAAGGAAGGAUUCAUCUCUCUCAUUCCUAAGGGUGAAUCUAAUAUGGAAAGAUUCUCAAAACUGUUGAGGUGCUUGCAAGCAGAAGAUGUUGACACAAGAAGAGUAUUUUCAAAGUAUUCUUAUGGUGGAAGUAUCUGAAAGAAUAAUUGGGAAAGGAUUUAAGAUCAAUGU
rnacentral:lncRNA from 1 species